rnacentral:rRNA from 1 species
CACAAGCGGUGGAGCAUGUGGUUUAAUUCGAAGCAACGAGAAGAACCUUACCCAGGUCCUUGACAUCCUCUGACAAUCCCUAGAGAUAGGACUUUCCCCUUCGGGGGACAGAGUGACAGGUGGUGCAUGGUUGUCGUCAGCUCGUGUCGUGAGAUGUUGGGUUAAGUCCCGCAACGAGCGCAACCCUUGAUCUUAGUUGCCAGCAUUCAGUUGGGCACUCUAAGGUGACUGCCGGUGACAAACCGGAGGAAGGUGGGGAUGACGUCAAAUCAUCAUGCCCCUUAUGACCUGGGCUACACACNUGCUACAAUGGAUGGUACGAAGGGCAGCGAAACCGCGAGGUUAAGCCAAUCCCAUAAAACCAUUCUAAGUUAGGAUUGCAGGCUGCAACUCGCCUGCAUGACUNCCGGAAUUGAUAGUAAUCGCGGAUCAGCAUGCCGCGGUGAAUUUGUUCCCGGGCCUUGUAC